AUCUUCCGAUCUUUAUCGAGGUUCCACUGUAUUUCUAUUAAAAAGAUUUGUUUGCAUUUCCACGAACUGCCCUUUUGCAUUUCCAGAAAUCAAACUUAGAAACCUGUUUUAUCAGUUUUAGGCUAAAUAAAGCAGAGUACUGCUACAACUACUAUUCACUGUGUUACAACAGUUCGUAAAUGUUCAUCAAGGCGAAUUAAUUUUUGAAGAUGCAGUGACGAAAAAAUGCUGCUAAAAGCCGUGAGUCUGAUGAAUACCAGCGACGGUUCACUACAACAGUUUUUUCAGAAAAAUAUAAUAAAUCUGUAAGUAUUCGAACCUUGUCGCAAACUAUUCCAUUUUUUUUUUUUUUUUUUUUGGUUUGUUUUUUAUCCGUUUGUAGAAUUUAAAUUGAUAGAUGCAGAUGACGCUCCUGAAACCUCCGAACAGUCGACCGAUAGAAGUUAUGACAAGCCACCAAUACCCGGCAAAAACUUGCAAUCAACCGAAGGAAGUAAUAAGUCACCUGAUAACAACUUACGGUCAACUGAAAGAAGCCGCGAUAAAUCGCCAACCUCGGGGAAGGACUCACAAUUCCAAUAGGUGACGCCGAGAAAAAUGGACUACAAACACAGUCCGAGCUCAGUUGCAGAAAGCGGGUCUAUACAAUUGUACAUCGCAGUCGGGUCAGGUAGUGGCAGACUACAAACGGUACCUGCAUCAAAGUUGUGGUCAUCGUCUGAACCUCAAAACCCAGCAGCUGUUUAACUGCUUCAUUUCCUCGGUGGAAACGUCGAAGUUCUAAAUUAUCAGCAUAUUUUUCAGGAACAAAAUCUGGUUGCCAGACUGUGUGUAUGGAUAUAGGGAUUUGUAGAGUUCCUUUAUGGAAGACAGAUCAUAUAUGAAGGACUCUACAAAUUUCUAAAACAAUUCAUAUCUGCAUAUAUGAAGCGCGUAUCCAUCACGAAACGGGAUAUUAACGUUUCAAAGAGACGGAAAUAUUUGGACCUAUCGCUAGAGAAACCAUCCGGCACUUUCUCCUGGAUGGAGAAAAUUCAACCCCUUAUUUUGGUCUCCGCGAUGGACUAGUCUGAGUAAGACUCGAAUACGGAGAAAUGCUUUGUUGCCCUAUAUUAUCGGGAUAAUACUUCGUUUCGGCCAUUAUCAGGUCGCAUCGAACUUCACAGUCUCGGAGUACCUUGCAGGUCAGAAUUCUGAGAUUUUUUACGUCAGUGACGUGAAAUCCCAGGAGACCGGAUCUGCAACCUUCGAGAUGAGAUCCGAGGAGGAACGCCGAAUCGUGAAGUAUUACCAUGAUAAUGUCAGAGUGACAAAGACGCAUUCCGAAGCAUUUCUCCUUAGUUCGAGUGGAACUCCGAUACAAUAUAUCAACCGGACACUCGAAAAAAUCAUCAUUCCCCAUAUGCCUGUAAACUCCACCACGUACAGACAUAUAGUUGCAACUAAAAUUCAGGGGGAAGUGGCAGAUCCCGAGAAAAGGAAGCGUCUUCACCAGGAAAUAAAUCAAACUGAAACUUAUAUUGGCAAUUGAGAACUGUUUCACCUGUUGGUUUAAAUUUGAAAUUUCCAUGAGACAAG
rnacentral:lncRNA from 1 species